CAGAUUAUAGCAUAUAUAAUGCUUUUUAUUUACACUAAAAAAAAAAUAUUUAUUAUUUAAUCUGA
rnacentral:tRNA from 1 species